rnacentral:rRNA from 1 species
GUGGGGAAUAUUGGGCAAUGGGCGAAAGCCUGACCCAGCAACGCCGCGUGAAGGAAGAAGGCUUUCGGGUUGUAAACUUCUUUUGUCAGGGACGAAAAAAAUGACGGUACCUGACGAAUAAGCCACGGCUAACUACGUGCCAGCAGCCGCGGUAAUACGUAGGUGGCAAGCGUUAUCCGGAUUUACUGGGUGUAAAGGGCGUGUAGGCGGGAAAGCAAGUGAGAUGUGAAAACUAUGGGCUCAACCCAUAGCCUGCAUUUGAAACUGUUUUUCUUGAGUACUGGAGAGGCAGAUGGAAUUCCUAGUGUAGCGGUGAAAUGCGUAGAUAUUAGGAGGAACACCAGUGGCGAAGGCGAUCUGCUGGACAGCAACUGACGCUGAGGCGCGAAAGCGUGGGGAGCAAACAGGAUUAGAAACCCCAGUAGUCC